UGGGUCCACAGGCCAAGCACUAAUUCAAAAUAUUUUAUUAAUUUUUAGUAUAAUCAAAGUAUUAUUUAUGCUUAUUUUACUGUCAAUAAAAAAUAUUUUUUUUAAGUUUACGAUUAUUCCUUGUAAUAGUGUGAUGUUCAAUGUUGAAAUCAAAGAUGAUACAGCUGCGGGUUGAGGUCCAUGGCUCUCGGCAGUGUCCUUGUGCAAGUGGCUAGCCAUUGGGAGGUCACCACCUGUCCCAACCAUUGAGAGUUCUAGAAUAUAUUAUGAAUGUAAUUGUAAGUUUUCUCAAAUCUAGUGUCUUUAAUUGUAAUUUUCCAAUUUUUUGGAUUUAUUUUAUAAGAUAAAAUAUUAUUGCCUAUUCUUUUUUUAAAGAAUUACCUCUACAAAUUUUAAACUAAGAGGCCAAAUCUCCAUUUUCAAAAUUAAAUAAAAAGGAAAUGAUUCAAAAACUGAGACCAAAUCCAUUAACCCAAACAUUUUCCUCUCUUAAAACCUAUUAAUCCAUAUUUUCAUUAAUUCUCACAAGUCCAAAACUCAAAUUUAUAAAUCACCCAAAUAUUUUGGUCUAAAUCCGCAGUAAUCGGAAGUUUUAAAGUUAAUAAAUUAUUUCUCAAAAAAUCCAUAAAAUUUGAGCAUGUAGUCUCAAAAAAUCAACCAUUAAGAUUUAAAACAGAUUUAUAAUAAAAGCUUUGAUUUGUAUGCCGAGAAAAUGUGAUGUUUGAAAUAAAUAAUAUAGAGAGUAAAUGUAAAUAGAAAAAAAGAGGAGAAUAUAUUUUUAUUGAUUAAUGGAAAUAUCUAUAAAACUUCUCCAAAGUUUAUAUUUAUAGAUAUAAAAGUAUAAAUGGUAUAAAACUUUACUUCAAAUGGACAUUAAAGUCUUAAAGUACAUUAAAUCUGUCUUUAUUUUGAUGAACAUCCACUUAAUAAUAAAAUAUUUAUAACACUCCCUCCUCUUGGAUGUCCUUUGGUAAAUAAUGUGUUUUGUUAAAACCUUACUAAGAUAAAAACUUUGUAGAAAGAAAAUUCUUAAUAAAGGAACAAGAGUGAGUAUAUAUGAUAAGUUAUAAAAGUAACAUGUUUUUAAUAUUGAUGAGAAUUAUAAGUUGAGCAAGAUUAAUUUUUAAUUGUGAGUUGAGGAUUUUACUUGAGGACAAGCAAACGCUUAAGUGUGGGGAUAUUUGAUAAGCUAUAAAAGUAACAUGUUUUUAAUCCCAAUCUUAAUGCAUCUUUUGGAUGAUUUAUUAUGUAAAUUAGUGAAUUUGAUGUUCCUAAUCCUUUAAAUUCAUGUUUCUAUACUUAGGUGAGUAUAGGGGAGCAGAAGGAGCGAAAAACAGGCAAAAUCAGACAAAAAGAGUUGUUUACAGGAUCCACACGGGCUGGACACACUCUAAUGUGCCUGCCUGUGUCGAUUUCACACCCUGUUUCUCUUUUACGCAGAAAAAACUAAUUUUUAGGGAUUCUGAGCAUCCUAAAGUUUAUAAAUACAUAGUAGAAGAGGACAUAAGGGAACAUGCAAAGAAGAAUAAAGAAAAGACUCUAAGAAUGCC
rnacentral:lncRNA from 1 species